AUGGCUCGUGGCGAUCAUCAAAACGAUGAUGAUGAUUUCAUGGAUCCACCACAGCGUAAUCGGGCAACUGAACGGAGAAAAGAGGGUGAUGAGAAGAAGAAACAUAUUCGCAACAGAACCUCCCAAGAACGACUGACUGCGUUGACUGACAAAUUCACCAACGAUCAGAAGGGGGCUGCUGCUGAGAUGGGUAUGCAGUCUAUGAUGGAUGUCCGGUGCACGAACCUUGUCAACCCUGUAUGCGACUGGCUUGGUGAGAUCUACGACCCCGCCUCCAGGGAAUUCGUGAUUCCGGGAUGUGGAAGACUACCGUUGAACGAGGAAUCCAUGUUCUGCACUUUGGGUGUGUCUCGUGGACAUAUGAAAGUCCCGUAUGAGGUCAACAAUGAGAUCGAGGAAGCGUUGUUCCCCCGUUUGUUUCCUGGGUCUGAAUCCAUGCCGAACACGUCUGCAGUGGCAGAUUCGCUGCAGGCCAUGACGACGCAUGGAGAUGUUUUCAAGAUGAAGCUACUCAUGUACCUCAUCUCAGCUGUUUUCGCGCAGACCACCUCUCUUCGCCCAAGCAACAAAUGCUUCCCCAUCCUGGCGGAUCGGGGAAAUGUGAAGAACAUGAAUUGGUGUAAGUUUAUUGCCGACUUCCUGCACGAUGCAUUCUCAAGCAAGAUGUACCAAAAGGGUUGUCGACUGCAUUUAAUGCUCAUGUACGUCGACUGUCUUGACCUGUCCACCGUGGAUUUCACUGGGACAGGAGGCCCGCCGCCUGCGCAUAAGUUUGUUGUUUCUGCGUGGACUAUCAAUGUUGUCAAGGCUGUGCUUGCCGCAGAUAAGGCUACUGACACCACAUAUGGAAAACUGCAGCUGAUGGCCAAGCAUGCUAUAGACUACAACGUGUUUGGGGGGCCUCAAAACUUUGGAAAGUGGAUGGACGUGCACUCAGCUUCGUCUUGCCCUGCCGAGGUGAGGACACCUAUUGAGCAUCUAAUAGGGCAGUUUGCAUCUGGAAUGACCGGCUUCCUCGGGAAGUUGGUUGAGGGUUCCCAAGAGCCUGGUGACACACAAGAUGAACUAGAUGGAGAUGCUGGUCUCAGCAAGGAUGACGACGAUGUCAUGAAGAAUGUGCAAGAGGACACCGGGGAUGAUGAUCAUGAUGAAGUUCACGCAGGUGGUAACAAGGGCAAGGAUGCAAUAGAUGUCCCCCAACUGGAGAAAGUGAAACAACACACGGCUGCGAGAGGCGAGGGGAUUUUGCCAUCAAAGAGGGGGAGGGCUCCAGAGGGUGUUGGGCAGGGUUCUGCUGGCAAGAGGUCUAGGACCGACCCCGUAGCUGCCAGGAAGAGCGAGCCGACAGCUGGUGGACGAGCAGUUACGAAGAAACAGGCGCCAACGCCAACCCAUGUUUCUGCUCGGUUGAACAAAGCGUCCCCAUUGCCGGUGACACCCCUUCCACCAGGUCAUCUCCUCGCACAACGACGACCAACACCGGGGAUCCUGUCGUGUUGCCAGACAUGA
rnacentral:rRNA from 1 species